AUUGAACGCUGGCGGCAUGCCUUACACAUGCAAGUCGAACGGUAACAGGUUAAGCUGACGAGUGGCGAACGGGUGAGUAAUAUAUCGGAACGUGCCCAGUCGUGGGGGGAUAACUGCUCGAAAGAGCAGCUAAUACCGCAUGCGCCCUACGGGGGAAAGUCGGGGACCGCAAGGCCUGACGCGAUUGGAUGAGCCCAUGUUCGAUUAGCUAGUUGGCGGGGUAAAGGCCCACCAAGGCGACGAUCGGUAGGGGGUCUGAGAGGAUGAUCCCCCACACUGGUACUGAGACACGGACCAGACUCCUACGGGAGGCAGCAGUAAGGAAUAUUGGACAAUGGUCGCAAGACUGAUCCAGCCACUGCC
rnacentral:rRNA from 1 species